rnacentral:rRNA from 1 species
CCUACGGGAGGCUGCAGUGAGGAAUAUUGGUCAAUGGCCGGAAGGCUGAACCAGCCAUGCCGCGUGAAGGUCAGUGCCCUAUGGGCGUUAAACUUCUUUUGUGUGGGAGCAAUAAUGGUCACGUGUGGCCAGACGAGAGUACCGUACGAAUAAGCAUCGGCUAACUCCGUGCCAGCAGCCGAGGUAAUACGGGGGAUGCAAGCGUUAUCCGGAAUUACUGGGGGUAAAGGGAGCGCAGGCGGGAAGGCAAGGCAGCUGUGAAAACUACGGGGUUAACUUGUGGACUGCAGUUGAAACUGGUUGUCUUGAGUGAAGGAGAGGUUGGCGGAAUUCCGAGUGUAGCGGUGAAAUGCGUAGAUAUUCGGAGGAACACCGGUGGCGAAGGCGGCCAACUGGGCUUUAACUGACGCUGAGGCUCGAAAGUGUGGGGAGCAAACAGGAUUAGAUACCCUGGUAGUC